rnacentral:rRNA from 1 species
CCUACGGGUGGCAGCAGUGAGGAAUAUUGGUCAAUGGGCGCGAGUCUGAACCAGCCAAGUCGCGUGAGGGAGGACGGCCCUACGGGUUGUAAACCUCUUUUGUCCGGGAGCAACGGGCGUCACGUGUGGCGUCUUUGAGAGUACCCGGAGAAAAAGCAUCGGCUAACCCCGUGCCAGCAGCCGCGGUAAUACGGAGGAUGCGAGCGUUACCCGGAUUUGUUGGGUUUAAGGGGUGCGUAGGCGGCUCGUAAGGUCAGUGGUAAAAUGCAGGGCCCCAACCCCUUCCCGCCGUGGGAACUGGCGCUCUUGAGUGGAAGAGAGGUAUGCGGAAUGCGUGGUGUAGCGGUGAAAUGCAUAGAUAUCACGCAGAACCCCGAUUGCGAAGGCAGCAUGCCGGCUUCCGACUGACGCUGAGGCACGAAGGCGUGGGGAUCGAACAGGAUUAGAUACCCUUGUAGUC